rnacentral:rRNA from 1 species
GAACGACGCUGGCGGCAGGCCUAACACAUGCAAGUCGAGCGAUCCCUUCGGGGAUAGCGGCGGACGGGUGAGUAACGCGUGGGAACGUACCCUUUGCUACGGAAUAGCCUCGGGAAACUGGGAGUAAUACCGUAUGUGCCCUUCAGGGGAAAGAUUUAUCGGCAAAGGAUCGGCCCGCGUUGGAUUAGGUAGUUGGUGGGGUAAUGGCCUACCAAGCCGACGAUCCAUAGCUGGUUUGAGAGGAUGAUCAGCCACACUGGGACUGAGACACGGCCCAGACUCCUACGGGAGGCAGCAGUGGGGAAUCUUAGACAAUGGGGGCAACCCUGAUCUAGCCAUGCCGCGUGAGUGAUGAAGGCCUUAGGGUUGUAAAGCUCUUUCAGCUGGGAAGAUAAUGACGGUACCAGCAGAAGAAGCCCCGGCUAACUCCGUG